AGUGAACGCUGGCGGUAGGCCUAACACAUGCAAGUCGAACGGCAGCACAGGAGAGCUUGCUCUCUGGGUGGCGAGUAGCGGACGGGUGAGGAAUGCAUCGGAAUCUACUCUUUCGUGGGGGAUAACGUAGGGAAACUUACGCUAAUACCGCAUACGACCUACGGGUGAAAGCCGGGGACCUUCGGGCCUGGCGCGAAUGAAUGAGCCGAUGCCCGAUUAGCUAGUUGGCAGGGUAAGAGCCCACCAAGGCGACGAUGGGUAGCUGGUCUGAGAGGAUGAUCAGCCACACUGGACCUGAGACACGGUCCAGACUCCGACGGGAGGCAGCAGUGGGGAAUAUUGGACAAUGGGCGCAAGCCUGAUCCAGCCAUACCGCGUGGGUGAAGAAGGCCUUCGGGUUGUAAAGCCCUUUUGUUGGGAAAGAAAAGCAGUCGGUUAAUACCCGAUUGUUCUGACGGUACCCAAAGAAUAAGCACCGGCUAACUUCGUGCCAGCCGCCGCGGUAAUAC
rnacentral:rRNA from 1 species